rnacentral:rRNA from 1 species
AGCGAACGCUGGCGGCAGGCCUAACACAUGCAAGUCGAGCGGCCGUAGCAAUACGGCAGCGGCAGACGGGAGAGUAACACGUGGGAACGUGCCCUUUGGUUCGGAAUAACGCAGGGAACUUGCGCUAAUACCGAAUAAGCCCUUACGGGGAAAGAUUUAUCGCCAUUGGAGCGGCCCGCGUCUGAUUAGCUAGUUGGUGGGGUAACGGCUCACCAAGGCGACGAUCAGUAGCNGGUCUGAGAGGAUGAUCAGCCUCACUGGGACUGAGACACGGCCCAGACUCCUACGGGAGGCAGCAGGUGGGAAUAUUGGACAAUGGGCGCAAGCCUGAUCCAGCCAUGCCGCGUGGAUGAUGAAGGCC